AGUCACUGACAUUAGAUACCCCCGUAGUCCAGGGUGUAAACGCUGCAGACUUGGUGUUGGAGGCCCUUUGGGGGCAUUCAGUGCCGGAGAGAAGUUGUUAAGUCUGCUACUUGGGGAGUACGUCCGCAAAGAUGAAACUUAAAGGAAUUGGCGGGGGAGCACCGCAACGGGAGGAGCGUGCGGUUUAAUUGGAUUCAACACCGUAAACUCACCAGGGAAGACUGUUACAUGAAGGCCGAGAUGAAGACUCUGCUAGAUUUUCAG
rnacentral:rRNA from 1 species